rnacentral:misc_RNA from 1 species
GAAAUGCGAUAAGUAAUGCGAAUUGCAGAAUUCCGUGAGUCAUCGAAUCUUUGAACGCACAUUGCGCCCUUUGGCAUUCCGAAGGGCAUGUCUGUUUGAGCGUCAUUACAACCCUCGGUCACAACCGGUUUUGAGCCAGCGGGGCGCCCUCGGGUGACCCGCCGGCUUUAAAGUUGUAAGCUCUGCUGGCUGCCAGGCCCGACCAGAACAUAGUAAAACACUCUUUCACUUGUUCGAAGGCGAGUUUGAGCGGUACGGCCUGAACAAAACCUACCCAACUCUAAGGUUUGACCUCAGAUCAGACAAGGAUACCCGCUGAACUUAA